rnacentral:rRNA from 1 species
AGAGUUUGAUCCUGGCUCAGAGUGAACGUUGGCGGUAGGCCUAACACAUGCAAGUCGAACGGCAGCACAGUAAGAGCUUGCUCUUACGGGUGGCGAGUGGCGGACGGGUGAGGAAUGCAUCGGAAUCUACUCUGUCGUGGGGGAUAACGUAGGGAAACUUACGCUAAUACCGCAUACGACCUACGGGUGAAAGCAGGGGAUCUUCGGACCUUGCGCGAUUGAAUGAGCCGAUGCCCGAUUAGCUAGUUGGCGGGGUAAGAGCCCACCAAGGCGACGAUCGGUAGCUGGUCUGAGAGGAUGAUCAGCCACACUGGAACUGAGACACGGUCCAGACUCCUACGGGAGGCAGCAGUGGGGAAUAUUGGACAAUGGGCGCAAGCCUGAUCCAGCCAUACCGCGUGGGUGAAGAAGGCCUUCGGGUUGUAAAGCCCUUUUGUUGGGAAAGAAAAGCAGUCGGUUAAUACCCGAUUGUUCUGACGGUACCCAAAGAAUAAGCACCGGCUAACUUCGUGCCAGCAGCCGCGGUAAUACGAAGGGUGCAAGCGUUACUCGGAAUUACUGGGCGUUAAGCGUGCGUAGGUGGUUGUUUAAGUCUGUCGUGAAAGCCCUGGGCUCAACCUGGGAAUUGCGAUGGAAACUGGGC